UACGUAGGGGGCAAGCGUUGUCCGGAAUCAUUGGGCGUAAAGCGCGUGUAGGCGGUUCGGUAAGUCCGCUGUGAAAGUCGGGGGCUCAACCCUCGGAUGCCGGUGGAUACUGUCGAGCUUGAGUACGGAAGAGGCGAGUGGAAUUCCUGGUGUAGCGGUGAAAUGCGUAGAUAUCUGGAGGAACACCGGUGGCGAAGGCGGCAUCCUGGACCGGCAUUGACGCUGAGGCGCGAAAGCCAGGGGAGCAAACGGG
rnacentral:rRNA from 1 species